UCGGGUCUAGUGGCGCACGGGUGCGUAACGCGUGGGAACCUGCCCUUAGGUUCGGAAUAACUCAGAGAAAUUUGAGCUAAUACCGGAUAAUGUCUUCGGACCAAAGAUUUAUCGCCUUUGGAUGGGCCCGCGUUGGAUUAGCUAGUUGGUGGGGUAAAGGCCUAUCAAGGCGACGAUCCAUAGCCGGUCUGAGAGGAUGAUCAGCCACACUGGGACUGAGACACGGCCCAGACUCCUACGGGAGGCAGCAGUGGGGAAUAUUGGACAAUGGGCGAAAGCCUGAUCCAGCAAUGCCGCGUGAGUGAUGAAGGCCUUAGGGUUGUAAAGCUCUUUUACCAGGGAUGAUAAUGACAGUACCUGGAGAAUAAGCUCCGGCUAACUCCGUGCCAGCAGCCGCGGUAAUACGGAGGGAGCUAGCGUUGUUCGGAAUUACUGGGCGUAAAGCGCACGUAGGCGGCUUUUUAAGUCAGGGGUGAAAUCCCGGGGCUCAACCCCGGAACUGCCCUUGAAACUGGGAAGCUAGAAUCUUGGAGAGGCGAGUGGAAUUCCGAGUGUAGAGGUGAAAUUCGUAGAUAUUCGGAAGAACACCAGUGGCGAAGGCGACUCGCUGGACAAGUAUUGACGCUGAGGAGCGAAAGCGUGGGGAGCGAACAGGAUUAGAUACCCUGGUAGUCCACGCCGUAAACGGUGGGCGCUAGUUGUGCGAACCUUCCACGGUUUGUGCGACGCAGCUAACGCAUUAAGCGCCCCGCCUGGGGAGUACGAUCGCAAG
rnacentral:rRNA from 1 species